GCUCUCUUGGGGUGGAAGGCAAAAGCUAAGAAGAGAGGCUCGGUGUGAUCCUGAGGCCAUUGGAAUCCUGCCACCAGAAGGAUUCUGGCCCUCAGCACUGCACGUUUGUAAAUCAAGAAAAAUCACCGAAGAAAUAGAAACAAAGAUGGCAAAAAUCUUCCCCACCCCCCAAAAAAACAAAGCAGCUUAGGCAAGGCCAGGAUGCUCAGAACCCAAACAAUUCAUUCUGUGUGUGCCCAAGCAGAGGAGGACUUUUCUUUCUUUAACAGCUCCUCCUCGAUGCUGCAUGAAACGCCACUUCUGAAACUGCCGAAGGCUUUAUGAACCUUGUCUUAUUAUGGUAUGCAGAUCUGCUGCAAUUCAAAGAGCAAAUAAUUGCAAUCUCUACUAGGUAUUUAUUCGCCCUGUGGGAACACCUUGGCGUUCUGACCCUCACAAUGGGUUUGCUCCUUUUUUUAAAAAAAGCAUGAUUAUUACUGCUGACGAAUUGGUGCGAGCCCUGGAUGCUGCUUCCUCUUGCCAAAGAUGCCAGAACAUUAUGCAAAGUUUCUCACGCAAUGCAUUCUUCCGCGCUCCCUCCAUUUGAAGAGGUGAAUCAUCCAUCACUUUCUGGGGAGAGGACAGGAGGAAGUUUGUAUGGAGGCCAGGUAAGUAGGCCGGAUGAAGGAAAGCAGCUUGCUAGACAUAUAGGGCCCCUCUAGCCUGGUGUUUUCUCACAGGCAGAUUCUGCAACAUGCUCUUAACAACAGUAAGAGUGUAUUAGCGAUGGAUUUAUUCUGCUUCAGGUUGUUUUGAUUCCCUGACGUUACUGCUUUAUUGCUGUCCAGAGAGGUUAUAGCACAAAUGAAAAGCAGGACAAAAAAAAACCAAAACCCAGAAGAGUUGCGGUAUAAAAAAUUAUGGGAUUUCAACGGGUUACAGGAUAUGCACUUAUUGGAACUGAAUAGCACCCAAACUUUCACAAGCACAAUCAGGUGCUAAUGCUCCGAUAGUAUCACAAGCGCAAGUGACCAUGAAUGUGCAAUUUAGAAGGAUGUGUGGAAAAGUCUCAUGCACACACUAGGAAGACGACUCAGAAAUUUCAGGUGGUACAAAAUCAGCAGUGGGGCCGACCCUACCAUUAGGCAGAGUGAGGUAGCAGAUGCUGGAGUGAUGGCAAGGUGCUGGAGGUCAGAGCUGUAUAUGCCAUAGAGCCUAUCCUGAAUUUCCUAAGCUAGCCUAAUACCAUCAGGGGCAGUGGAAGGCAGUGUCCAAUCGCCAGUAUUAACAUCAGAUUCAACUUCCAGUCUCAUUCGUGGAAUGGAGCUUCCAUGUUUUCUUUUGCUGCAAACAGCAAAUGUCUUAGGUUGGCUAUGUGCAGCAGCUAAAUUUAUGAUUGAUUGAUUGAUUGAUUGAUUGAUUGAUUGCCUCAGCCACCCUGGGCAGCUUCCAACAAAUAUAAAAGCACAAUAAAACAUCAAACAUUAAAAACUUCCCUACAUGGCCUUCAGUAAUGCGUCUUGCUUCUGUAUAUUUGCCUCUGUGCAUGUAAAGACUAUCUAUUUCCAGAAAGGAGAUGUAUAUAACUUCCUUCCUUCCUUCCUUCCUUUCUUUCUUUCUUUCUUUCUUUCUUUCUUUCUUUCUUUCUUUCUAAAAAUAAAAAUUGUUCCCUGCCAUGGAAACAAAGUAAAUGCCUUGCUCCUGUAGAAACAUGUGGGGGGAAAGGAUGUAUUUUGAAACAAACUGAGAUACGUUGACGUAAAAUUCUUGACUUCCCUCGCUCUGCUAACGGACAGUCAUUGAAUGGUUAAGGUGGCAAAUCCCUAAUGUGCCAUAGCAUUAACCAUGAUUGGGGGCAGGGGGGGAGCAUAAUACUCUAGAAAACUAAAAGAAAGAAAGGAAGAAUAGCUUUUUCUGUCCCCUACACCCUACAUAAACCUGGAGAUGGUGUGAGAAAAUGGUAGUUUCAUAGCAACAUAAGGAACAAGAUUUCUUAAGACUUGCAAAGACUUUGGGCGGUAAAAAUGAUUACUCAUUUGUUGCUGUUGUUAUAAGGGGUACCAGUCAUCCAGUUAAAGAAAUCUUCUUUGAUUGAUCAUAUGUGUUGGUUGUUAGAGGAGCUGGACAUGGAGAGAGGGGUUAAUUUCUUUCAUGGGCACAAAUCACCCCAUGUAUGAGACAAGCCAACAGGUAUAAGGUCAGCCAAGCAAGUUGCUAUGGCAACGGCCUAUAUAAAUGAUUAAGGCAUGUCGGCUUAUUAGUCAGUCUGUGAGUCUGUCUGUGAGUCGGAGUCUGUGUUAUGUCUUGAAUCGCUAGAAGCAACAGAUAUACUUUCUGCUUGCAUAUAUCCGUAUCUGUAUCUGCAAAGCCUACAAGCUGUAUGUGUAUAUCAACAUCUGGAAUGGUAUUAGUGAAGCCUGAUCUUCUGCAGCAGUAAACUAUUUUGGACCUUAUUUUGGUGCCUCUGUGUGGUGACUGGAACUUCCACUUACAUGGGUAUCACACUUCAGGUUCCCAACAUCGAGAUGAUUAAGGGGCCAGUUAAUUGCAUCUGCAUAAAUUUGGUUAUAGAGACAGAAUAAGAGCAUAGUAAGCUGUCUUACACCAAAUCAGAUCAGUGGUCCAUCAAGUUCACAGGCUGGAGCUUUGACACAAUCCACAUCUACUCAUAAGUAAGCCAGACGUAGUUUGAAGGGACUUGCUCCCAGGUAGGGGAGUAUGGGAUUACAGCCUUAAUUAACUAAACACUACAGUAUUCCUCCUCUUCCUCCUCCUCCUCCUCCUCCUCCUCCUCCUCCUCCUCCUCUUCCUAAGGCACCAUUGCUGUACAGAGAGUAACAUCAUCAAAAAAUUGAGAGUAAUGUUUUUCGAUAUUUGGACAUGUGCUUGUUGUAGAAAUAGACACCUGUCAACAGCAUUGCUCCUUUUUUUAGAAAGACAUUGCUUAUUAUCUCAGCUCUUAACUGAUGUCUUUGCUAACUUGUAAUAAGAAUACAAUGAACCUCCAAAGGUAUUACAAUGAACAGUAAAUGACAGCUGGGAUGUUUGAAUACUGUACCUGACUUUUUCCACAUGCAAUGAAGAGCUGGAGGCCGCUGUGCAGAACACACUUACCAGGGACUGUAAGCACCAUUGAAAGCAGAAAGACUUGCAUUGGAUUGUGCAGCUUUUAAUUUUCAAUUUUCAGCUUUCCCAUCUAUCCUGAUGAAGAGUUCUGUGUAACACAGAGGUUUGCAUACUAUUUUUUGAACCAGCUGGCCCAAUAAGUGACUUCAUUUUCAUGAGGGAGAGAAAUCCCAUUCCAACAGGAGACAUAAAUUCUCAGCUGUCUGCACCUCUCCUCCCGCUGAGGGAGUGGCCAGAAAUUGAAUUUUCACCAAAGCUACAAAUUGACUUUGGCUGUUUCAUUCCUAAUUCGGAGGGAGGGAAGAUUCCAAAGUUUAGUGCUGGUGUGGAAAUAAAACAGAAGCCUUCUUCUCCCUUUCCCGCCAAAACACAUUCUGUGUGCCUCACACAAAGACACUUCUCAGACCGUUACCAGUUUUAAGUUCAACAUAAUGUUUUCAACCCUCCUCAGAGUAAAGGGGAUAUUUAACUGAUAAACAGCACAUAUUGAGCAGAAGGGAUGAGGGGCACCUGAUGAGGUGGGACAACGUUGCAGAGCUACCCUAGGGAGGGGACAACCAAAGUCAGGGCUGUGUAAGGACUCUGAUGGCGCCAGUCUGGAUCUUCUGUGGAGACUGUUUCCCCAUCCCUCCGAAAACAACAUAGAAGUGAUCACUUUCCCUUUCUGAGGGCGAAAAAGAAGUCAAGCUGAAAAACUAUGAAAGGCUUUGAGCUCAACAUUGUUGCCGGAAAGGUGGGUUACAAUGGUCGAAAUUAUAAUAAUAAUAAUUUAUUAUUUGUACCCCGCCCAUCUGGCUGGGUUUCCCCAGCCACUCUGGGCGGCUUCCAUAGAAACCAAAAAUACACUAAAAUAUCACACAUUGAAAUUGAAUUAAAACAAAACAAAAUGUGGUACCUGCGCAGCCCUGACCUUGUUGCUGCUUUAUGUCAACACCGCAUUAUCCAAAUAGCAUACGUGGCAGCAAGAAUAGUGUUGGGAGAGUGGUUUUGUGGCACUAUUUCACCACGUUGUCUGCUUCUGGAUGAGACCACAACUCAACGGCAAGGCACCUGCCCUGCCUCACACAGAUGGUCUCAGGUUCAAAUUCUAGCAUGAGCACUAAAUGAACCAGGCAGCAAGUGAUGGGAAAGAUCCUGAGAAGACUGUUGUCAUUCAGAGUCAACAGUACUAGGUUCGAAGGACAAAUAGGCUGGCCUUGUAUGAAGGAUGAAUUAAUAUUUCUGGCCUGGACAAUGUUUGUUUUAAACCCACAAUUCUGUAUCGUUUCCAAAUUUAUUUCACAUUUUAAAAUUCCUCUAAUAAGAGAAUAUCAGUGUGCAGGUAAGUGCACAUUUCCUCUCUAAAUAUGUAUCUGGAGGUGUGUUUUCUCUCUGCGCACAAAACCGGGAAGUAAAAAUCCAGAAACGUUUGAAGGCAGAGCAGCAGAUCAUCAUCAUCAUCUUGCAGUCGCCAAAGGGGAUGCCUGAAAAGCUAAUGGGUGGGGUUAGACCCCCUCUGCCCCCCUGUAAAUGGAGCACCAGGAGACAGCCUGCUCUAGGCCUGCUACAGAGCCCUGCCUGGGAGCGGGAUAAAGCCCCAUUCAAUGUGGUAUGUGCUCCCAGCACCUGUGUGAAACAUGAAACAGUAUUUGAGGUUCAGGAGACGACACAGUUGCUGCACACAAACGCCUUGCCAGCAUGAGUAAGCCAGGGCACGUUGCCAUUUCAAGCUGCUUCCGGCCAGCGGCUGUUUUGUGUGAUGUCAAGUGGACAACGAACCAUUGGCUCUGAACGCACAAUGUGAGCAGCAGCCUAGCCAAUUCCAAAGUGUACCAGCCUGUCUCAUCUCUCGCACCAUAUUCUCUGCCAAACAUCGGAUAAACCCCUGAUGCAUUUGAGGGGAGCCAGUGUUCCUUUCAUGGGAGAGAAGAGCAAACUUUUAGCUCCUGUUCCAUCAAACAUUUUUUCCCUUUUCUUUUUUAAAUGAGCGUUGCAGAGAGGUUACAGGCCUGUGUUUGUGGGGUGGGGAGACGUUCUGUUUAGCAUUCUACCUCAGGGCUUAUCUUAUCGCUGUGUUUACAGCAUAGAAAUGGAUGACUGACCGUCAGCUGCCAGAAAAGAAGAAGAAGAAGCAUGGACUGCUUUGUGCUGCUGCAGAUAACAUGCCCUUUGCAAACUUCCUCCUUUCCAAAGUGCACUAGAAGAGUCCAAACUGAACUACAGCCAUCAUUUCAACACUAUUGAUGAUAUAUACAGUAUCUCAUCCAGGAUUCAAAGGCCUUCCUAAAGCAGGAAUGGGGGGAAAUUUGUCCAUUUGGCAUUUUAAUACAAACCUAACCAGCAGUUUAAUUCCAGAACCAAAAUGGAGCUAUUGGCCAGGGGUGCC
rnacentral:lncRNA from 1 species